AUUGAACGCUGGCGGCAUGCUUUACACAUGCAAGUCGAACGGCAGCGCGGGGGCAACCCUGGCGGCGAGUGGCGAACGGGUGAGUAAUGUAUCGGAACGUACCUUUCAGUGGGGGGAUAACGUAGCGAAAGUUACGCUAAUACCGCAUAUUCUGUGAGCAGGAAAGCAGGGGAUCGCAAGACCUUGCGCUGAUUGAGCGGCCGAUAUCAGAUUAGCUAGUUGGUGAGGUAAAGGCUCACCAAGGCGACGAUCUGUAGCGGGUCUGAGAGGAUGAUCCGCCACACUGGAACUGAGACACGGUCCAGACUCCUACGGGAGGCAGCAGUGGGAAUUUUGGACAAGUGGGGGCAACCCUGAUCAGCCAUGCCGCGUGAGUGAAGAAGG
rnacentral:rRNA from 1 species